rnacentral:rRNA from 1 species
UACUUUAAGGUUGAAUAAAAAUUUUAAGUUGGUAGUUAGGCGUAUAAAUUUUAGUAAAUUAUAAAUAAUAGCAGGUGAAAUUGGUUAUUAUAUUUGUAUGAAAUGUAAAUUUGGGCUGAAGCUAAAAAGGUUUGAUUAAAAACUAGGAUUAGAUACCCUACUAUUAAAAAGGGAAGAGAUAAAAAGCUUAAUUAGUAAGAGAUAGAUUCUUGAAAUUUAAAAAAUUUGGCGGUAAUUUAAUCUUUUCAGAGGAACCUGUUUCUAAAUCGAUAAUCCACGAAUAAUCUUACUUACUUUUGUUUAAUAAAUUACAGUUUGUAUACCAUCAUUAGCAAAUAAUUUUAAAAGAAAAUAAUUAUUUAAUUUAAAAGAUUAUUAAAAUUAGAUCAUGGUGCAGCUUAUAAGUAAGGUGGAAUGGGUUACAAUAAAAUUUUUUUACUAUGGAUUAGUAAUUUGAAAUUGCUAUGAAGGAGGAUUUGAUUGUAUUAUAAAUUUAAUAAGAUUUAAAGAUAUAAGCUCUAAAUUAUGUACAUAUCGCCCGUCGCUUUCGCCUAUAAGCGAAAUAAGUCGUAACAUA